ACAACGAGGUCGCAUGAUCUUGUUGGGAAAAGCGGAGCAAUCUGCUGCUUACAGAUGGGCCUGCGGCGCAUUAGCUAGUUGGUGAGGUAACGGCUCACCAAGGCGACGAUGCGUAGCCGACCUGAGAGGGUGAACGGCCACACUGGGACUGAGACACGGCCCAGACUCCUACGGGAGGCAGCAGUAGGGAAUCUUCCGCAAUGGACGCAAGUCUGACGGAGCAACGCCGCGUGAGUGAUGAAGGUUUUCGGAUCGUAAAGCUCUGUUGCCAGGGAAGAACGCUUGGGAGAGUAACUGCUCUCAAGGUGACGGUACCUGAGAAGAAAGCCCCGGCUAACUACGUGCCAGCAGCCGCGGUAAUACGUAGGGGGCAAGCGUUGUCCGGAAUUAUUGGGCGUAAAGCGCGCGCAGGCGGCUUUGUAAGUCUGGUGUUUAAACCUAGGGCUCAACCCUGGGUCGCAUUGGAAACUGCAAAGGCUUGAGUGCAGAAGAGGAGAGUGGAAAUUCCACGUGUAGCGGUGAAAUGCGUAGAGAUGUGGAGGAACACCAGUGGCGAAAGGCGACUCUCUGGGCUGUAACUGACGCU
rnacentral:rRNA from 1 species